UUUGUGUGUCAAAGAGACCUAAAACUGAAGAGGAUGUUGAGGAUGAAGUUUCAGAGUAAUGCUGACCUUUCAGAUCCAGCUUCUAGUAACCAGAUGCUACAGCAGCUACAUGCAGUGCUGAUGAACAGGACCUCAAUGGUUGACUUUAAGCUGGUGUGGAGGACUGAACCCAGGAAACAAGAGCAAGACGAUGAAAAAAAAGUUACUUGUAACUGAUGUUUUUACAAGCUGCAAAAAAAUGAAUGAAUGCCUGUAACCAUAAUUUAUGUAGCUCAAUGACUGUUAACCCAAAGUAGUACAUCAAAUACUCAAAACAAAACAUGUUGUAAUCUUCACUCUCUGUGCUUCAUCUGGAAUAUGAACCUCAAUGCAGUGUGGCUCAGGGUAUAUACCAGUUCAAAUACCAGUUCAACCAGGGAAGGCUUGUUAAUAUUACAGUGUAU